ACACGUGCACUCAACUGUGGGUGCAAGAGAAAAAAAUAUAGGAUCAAUUGAUCCCAUAAAAAAAUUAAUCCAUAUAUUUAUAUAUUAAAUUAUUAUUAAAAAAAUAAUAAAAAAAUAAAAAUUGACCCCACAACAUAAAAAUAAAAAUCAAAAUUGGCCCCAUAAUAUUAAAAAAAUAAAUUAAUUUUAUAAUUGACUUCAUAUCUCAUAUAAAAUUUUGAAGAAAUAAAAGAUAAGAAAUACUACAUCAAAGG
rnacentral:lncRNA from 1 species